GGGUCAUUAGCUCAGCUGGCAGAGCAGUGGACUUUUAAUCCAUUGGUCGCAGGUUCGAAUCCUGCAUGACCCA
rnacentral:tRNA from 1 species